rnacentral:rRNA from 1 species
CCUACGGGAGGCAGCAGUGAGGAAUAUUGGUCAAUGGACGAGAGUCUGAACCAGCCAAGUAGCGUGAAGGAUGACUGCCCUAUGGGUUGUAAACUUCUUUUAUAUGGGAAUAAAACGUUCCACGUGUGGGAUUUUGUAUGUACCAUAUGAAUAAGGAUCGGCUAACUCCGUGCCAGCAGCCGCGGCAAUACGGAGGAUCCGAGCGUUAUCCGGAUUUAUUGGGUUUAAAGGGAGCGUAGGUGGAUUGUUAAGUCAGUUGUGAAAGUUUGCGGCUCAACCGUAAAAUUGCAGUUGAAACUGGCAGUCUUGAGUACAGUAGAGGUGGGCGGAAUUCGUGGUGUAGCGGUGAAAUGCUUAGAUAUCACGAAGAACUCCGAUUGCGAAGGCAGUUCACUGGACUGCAACUGACACUGAGGCUCGAAAGUGUGGGUAUCAAACAGGAUUAGAUACCCCGGUAGUC